UGGGGAAUAUUGCGCAAUGGGGGAAACCCUGACGCAGCAACGCCGCGUGAAGGAUGAAGGCUUUCGGGUUGUAAACUUCUUUGAUGAGGGACGAAAGAAAUGACGGUACCUCAAAAACAAGCCACGGCUAACUACGUGCCAGCAGCCGCGGUAAUACGUAGGUGGCGAGCGUUGUCCGGAAUUACUGGGUGUAAAGGGCGUGUAGGCGGGGAUGCAAGUCAGAUGUGAAAUGCCGGGGCUUAACUGCGGAGCUGCAUCUGAAACUGUGUUUCUUGAGUGUCGGAGAGGAAAGCGGAAUUCCCAGUGUAGCGGUGAAAUGCGUAGAUAUUGGGAGGAACACCAGUGGCGAAGGCGGCUUUCUGGACGAUAACUGACGCUGAGGCGCGAAAGCGUGGGGAGCAAACA
rnacentral:rRNA from 1 species